rnacentral:rRNA from 1 species
UACGUAGGGAGCAAGCGUUGUCCGGAAUCAUUGGGCGUAAAGCGCGCGUAGGUGGCUUCGUAAGUCCGUUGUGAAAGUCAAAGGCUCAACCUUUGAAAGCCGAUGGAUACUGUGGAGCUAGAGUACGGAAGAGGCGAGUGGAAUUCCUGGUGUAGCGGUGGAAUGCGCAGAUAUCAGGAGGAACACCAAUAGCGAAGGCAGCUCGCUGGGACGUACUGACACUGAGGCGCGAAAGCGUGGGGAGCGAACAGG